GACCUGGUGCCUAAUGGAGCUAUUGUGUGAUCUCCAUAGUUAACCAUCAUGGCCUGAUGUUCAGGUGUUCCUUUCUGUUCUUCCAGUUCUCUCUGAAUGCAUUCCCUCUUCCACAUGUUCCACUCUAAGCACAACAUCCUCAAUGUGUCACACACACACACACAGUGAGAAUCAAUCCAUCUGGUAACAAUACUCUUUCAUUCAUCUCAUUUAUUCUCUAAAGAUGAUGUCCCUUUUGAUGUCAUCUGUAGUUCAUGGCUUUUAGAUUGGCAUCUUCUUUAAAACACAAAUAAUUGUAUUACUCAAAUCAAUGCAUUUGUAUAGAGACAUACUCCUAUGCAUACAUACAGAUAUAAAUAUAUAUUGACAUAUUUUUUUAUCUAAUUUUUUUUAAAUAUUUUAUUUGUUGUCAGAUUGUUAUUUGUGUCAAAACUUGGUAGAUAAAGUGUUGCCAUGAAAAUAAACAUGCCUCCCCCAACUAGACACACUGUUGUCUGGAAUAUAGUGCACUCCCUUAAUAAUUUGUUUCAGUUAUGUAAUGUGAGUCAAUUAGGAUUUGAACUAACUUCAACAUAAGAUGGACUUCUCUUCCUAACCCAGUCAGGCUCCUAAACUUUCUCUCAUGUUGGCAUCUGUCUCUGAAAUGCAAUUAACUAAUGUGUGAGUGUGUGUAAAAAUAAAGAGAAAAGAGACUAACAGGAACACCUUCAAGACAGCAACUUGUUAGAGGUCAAACAUUGAACACUUUCAAGACAGCAACUUAUUAGAGGUCAAACCUCUAGACUUAUUGUUUUGCUUGUUGCAUUGAAAAUUGUUGAGUGCAUGCUAGUGUUCUAUUAGUUGAGUGUUUCUAGAAACAUGAAUUCUUUUGUUUUUUUUAAGUAGACCUUUAGUUCGUACAGUCAUUUUGCAAACAAAUCUAGAACAGGUGGUUGUUGUUUUUUUCAACCAAUAGGCUAUAAUGAUAUAAUUGCUUCAGAAUAACUUCAUCCCUAGUGCAUAGAACUUACAUAAAUCUAAGUAUACUUUAUCAUUUUACUAAAUACAUGUCUAGGCCU